rnacentral:lncRNA from 1 species
AUCUAAUUGAAGAAAAGGAGAACGAUUUAGACCAGAAGGAUCAGGAGAAAACUGAGAAUGAUGAAGAACAAGGACUUGAAUCACAAGUUCAAGAUUUGCAGAAGAGUGAAGAUCCAGAUAACGCGGACGUAAUGGUCCAAUGUAAGCUUUAUGGACAAGAUGUAGAACAAGACAAACUGAUAAACAUGAUGGAUCAUGGAGAGACGGGAGGCAUUGGAGGUUUUAAACAUGCAGAUGAACAUCUUAUUGAUGACAUGGAGGUACAAAUUGUUGACCAGAAGGAUCAGGGGAAAAUUGAGAAUGAUGAAGACCAAGGAACUGAAUCACAAGUGCAAGAUUUGCUGCCACAGCUGGAAUAUUUAAAAAAAUAUUCUGAUGAAAUUGCUUACGUCUCUAAAAACGAGGUUGAGGAGAUGAUGCCUGAAACUAGAGGUGUGACUGAGCAGGAUAAGGAGAAUGAAACUGUGCAGGACUUGGAAGAAAUUGGGCAGCUUAAACGAAACGAUGGUGACAAUGAAGAUAAAGAAGAAUGUGAUCAGAGUCAUGAGGAUGAAAAGUGUGCAAUGAAGAGUGAAGAUCUGGAUAACACAGACGUAAUGGUCCAAUCUGAGCUUUAUGGACAAGAUGUAGAACAAGACAAACCGAUAAACAUGAUGGAUCAUGGAGAGACGGGAGGCAUUGGAGGUUUUAAACAUGCAGAUGCACAUCUUAUUGAUGACAUGGAGGUACAAAUUGUUUACCAGAAGGAUCAGGGGAAAAUUGAGAAGGAUGAAGACCAAGGAACUGAAUCACAAGUGCAAGAUUUGCUGCCACAGCUGGAAUAUUUAAAAAAAUAUUCUGAUGAAAUUGCUUACGUCUCUAAAAACGAGGUUGAGGAGAUGAUGCCUGAAACUAGAGGUGUGACUGAGCAGGAUAAGGAGAAUGAAACUGUACAGGACUUGGAAGAAAUUGGGCAGCUUAAACGAAACGAUGGUGACAAUGAAGAUAAAGAAGAAUGCAAUCAGAAUCAUGAGGAUGAAAAGUGUGCAAUGAAGAGUGAAGAUCUGGAUUACGCAGACGUAAUGGUCCAAUCUGAGCUUUAUGGACAAGAUGUAGAACAAGAAAUGCAGAUAAGCAUGAUGGACCAUGCAGAGAAAGAAGGCACUGGAGGUUUUAAACAUUCAAAUGAACAUCCUAUUGAUGAAAAGGAGAAACAAAUUGUUGACCAGAUGGACCAGGAGAUGACUGAGAAUGAUGAAGAACAAGGAACUGAAUCACAAGUGCAAGAUUUGCUGCCACAGCUGGAAUAUUUUACAGAGGAAGCCGAUGACCUUGCAAAGCCUGAAAGGCUGAAAGUAAUGGAAAAAUAUUCUUAUGACAUUGAUGAAUUCUCUAAAAAAGGGGUUGAGGAGGUAAUGCAUGAAACUGAGCAGGAUGAAGACACCACAGAAAGUGAACAAGACACGACUAAAUAUGAGCUAAUGGAGUCAGUAGAAACCCUGCAGAGAGUUUCCGAAGAACUAUCUGAAAAAAAAGUACCAAAUGUUGAACUGAAAAUGACCACAGUAGUGGAUGAGUUUUUCGAAACCGUUGAUACAUUAGAAGACACCCUGCUGUCGGAUUCAAAACGGGAUACUUCAGAAAAUACUCCUGUAACAGGAACUGGGUCACAUGUGGUGGCCAUGAAAACUGAAGGCAUGUUUUCAGAUCUAAUUGUUUGCGAGUUCCCUGUAGAAUUGAGGAAAGGGCCAGAGACUGCAUUGGCGGAGACUGAUUUGGGAUGUUUCGAGGAGAUCAAAACUAACCUACAUGAUCCCCAAACUCUUGCAGAAGAGCAAGCAGAAAGGGAAGCUGUGAUCACAUGCUCUGUUGAGCACUCUGAGACCCUGAAAGCAGUUGAUGAAGCAGUUGAGACUGAACAAGACAUUGAAACUUUAAUCGAAUCCUUGGGUACAACAGAAAGUCAGGCACA